AGAAACCAACAGGGAUUGCCUUAGUAACGGCGAGUGAAGCGGCAAAAGCUCAAAUUUGAAAUCUGGCGUCUUCGGCGUCCGAGUUGUAAUUUGAAGAAGGCUACUUUGGGGCUGGAGUUUGUCUAAGUUCCUUGGAACAGGACGUCACAGAGGGUGAGAAUCCCGUGAGAUAAGCUUCCCAGUUCUAUGUAAAGUGCUUUCGAAGAGUCGAGUUGUUUGGGAAUGCAGCUCUAAGUGGGUGGUAAAUUCCAUCUAAAGCUAAAUAUUGGCGAGAGACCGAUAGCGAACAAGUACAGUGAUGGAAAGAUGAAAAGAACUUUGAAAAGAGAGUGAAAAAGUACGUGAAAUUGUUGAAAGGGAAGGGCUUGAGAUCAGACAUGGUAUUUUGUAAACCUUCUCUCUCGUGGAGGGGGCCCCUUGCAGCUUACUGGGCCAGCAUCAGUUUGGGCGGUAGGAUAAUGACUAAGGAAUGUGACUUGCCUUCGGGGAAGUGUUAUAGCCUUGGUUGAUACUGCCAGCCUAGACUGAGGACCGCGU
rnacentral:rRNA from 1 species